AGUGAACGCUGGCGGUAGGCCUAACACAUGCAAGUCGAACGGCAGCACAGUAAGAGCUUGCUCUUACGGGUGGCGAGUGGCGGACGGGUGAGGAAUACAUCGGAAUCUACUUUUUCGUGGGGGAUAACGUAGGGAAACUUACGCUAAUACCGCAUACGACCUACGGGUGAAAGCAGGGGAUCUUCGGACCUUGCGCGAUUGAAUGAGCCGAUGUCGGAUUAGCUAGUUGGCGGGGUAAAGGCCCACCAAGGCGACGAUCCGUAGCUGGUCUGAGAGGAUGAUCAGCCACAUUAGAGCUGAAACACGGUCCAUACUCCUACGGGAGGCAGCAGUGGGGAAUAUUGGACAAUGGGCGCAAGCCUGAUCCAGCCAUACCGCGUGGGUGAAGAAAGCCUUCGGGUUGUAAAGCCCUUUUGUUGGGAAAGAAAAGCAGCAGGUUAAUACCCCGCUGUUCUGACGGUACCCAAAGAAUAAGCACCGGCUAACUUCGUG
rnacentral:rRNA from 1 species